rnacentral:rRNA from 1 species
UACGUAGGGUGCGAGCGUUGUCCGGAAUUAUUGGGCGUAAAGAGCUUGUAGGCGGUUUGUCGCGUCUGCUGUGAAAAUCCGGGGCUCAACCCCGGACUUGCAGUGGGUACGGGCAGACUAGAGUGUGGUAGGGGAGACUGGAAUUCCUGGUGUAGCGGUGGAAUGCGCAGAUAUCAGGAGGAACACCGAUGGCGAAGGCAGGUCUCUGGGCCACUACUGACGCUGAGAAGCGGAAAGCAUGGGGGAGCGAACAGG